rnacentral:rRNA from 1 species
GUGAGGAAUAUUGGUCAAUGGACGAGAGUCUGAACCAGCCAAGUAGCGUGAAGGAUGACUGCCCUAUGGGUUGUAAACUUCUUUUAUAUGGGAAUAAAGUUCAGUAUGUAUACUGUUUUGUAUGUACCAUAUGAAUAAGGAUCGGCUAACUCCGUGCCAGCAGCCGCGGUAAUACGGAGGAUCCGAGCGUUAUCCGGAUUUAUUGGGUUUAAAGGGAGCGUAGGCGGACGCUUAAGUCAGUUGUGAAAGUUUGCGGCUCAACCGUAAAAUUGCAGUUGAUACUGGGUGUCUUGAGUGCAGCAGAGGUAGGCGGAAUUCGUGGUGUAGCGGUGAAAUGCUUAGAUAUCACGAAGAACUCCGAUUGCGAAGGCAGCUUACUGGACUGUAACUGACGCUGAUGCUCGAAAGUGUGGGUAUCAAACAGG